UACAGAGGUGGCAAGCGUUAUCCGGAGUUACUGGGCGUAAAGGGCGUGUAGGUGGUAGUGUAAGUCUGGCGUGAAAUUUUUCGGCUUAACCGGGAAAGGUCGUCGGAUACUGCACAACUAGAGGACGGUAGAGGCGUGUGGAAUUCCGGGUGUAGUGGUGAAAUGCGUAGAGAUCCGGAGGAACACCAGUGGCGAAGGCGACACGCUGGGCCGUACCUGACACUGAUGCGCGACAGCAUGGGGAGCAAACAGG
rnacentral:rRNA from 1 species